rnacentral:rRNA from 1 species
GAUGAAACGCUGGCGGCAUGGCUUAACACAUGCAAGUUCGAACGAGCAUUCCUUUUAGAUGUGUUAGUGGCGGACGGGUGCGUAACGCGUAAGAACCUUACCUUUUGGGAGGGGGGAUAACAUCGGGAAACUGUUGCUAAUACCCCAUAUCGCUGAGGAGUGAAAGGUGAAAACCGCCAAAAAGGAGGGGCUUGCGUCUGAUUAGCUAGUUGGUGGGUAAAGGCCUACAAGGCCACGAUCAGUAGCUGGUCUGAGAGGAUGAUCAGCCACACUGGGACUGAGACACGGUCCAGACUCCUACGGGAGGCAGCAGGUGGGGAAUAUUGGGCAAUGGACGAAAGUCUGACCCAGCGACGCCGCGUGAGGGAUGAAGGCCUUCGGGUUGUAAACCUCUUUCAGCAGGGAAGAAGCGAAAGUGACGGUACCUGCAGAAGAAGCACCGGCUAACUAUGUG